AGCGUAUUGUUCCUCAGUCCCUCCAUCUGUUUUGACAACUCUUCUUAAGAACCGCCCUCCUGGCACACCUGCCUGUCCAUCCUUCAGAGAUUCACCAUAGUCACCUUGCCUGCACCACAGGUCUCCUGAGGAAGACUACAGACUGUUCACCUCCUACAAGUGAUUUUCUGGCUGACCUCCUGGAACAAUGGCUCUUCUUUAAAUCAUCGUUCCCUCACCUCCUGGUGAACCCUCCAACAUUUCACAGAGCCACAACUCACACCUUGACAAGAAAGACCAAAGACACUUGUCAUCUCCACCAAUCUCCUGCCUAACUCAACCAGUGUGGAUAAAGUCGUCUUGUCUGCACCAUGCCGUCCUGGGUUCUUGAUCCAUAGCAAGAAGAAUCAUCAAACUUUGCAGAUUCACCAAUAAACCUUUUAAACUUUC